rnacentral:rRNA from 1 species
GACGCACGCUGGCGGCGUGCCUAAUACAUGCAAGUAGGACACAGUUGCGAACGGGUGAGUAACGCGUAGGUAACUACCUAUUAGAGCGGGAUAACUAUUGGAAACGAUAGCUCAUACCGCAUACUAGUAGAUGGACCUGCGUUGUAUUAGCUAGUAGGUAGGGUAAUGGCCUACCUAGGCAACGAUACAUAGCCGACCGGGAAGGGUGAGCGGCCACACUGUGACUGAGAGACGGCCCAGACUCCUACGGGAGAAAACAGUAGGGAAGCUUCGGCAAUGGGGGGAACCCUAGCCCAGCAACGCCGCGUGGGUGAAGAAGGUUGUCGGAUCGUACGGCUCUGUUGUUAAGGAAGCGGUCCUUAUCCAGAACGGGACGGCUAACUACGUGCCAGCAGCCGCGGUAAUAC